AUUGAACGCUGGCGGCAGGCCUAACACAUGCAAGUCGAGCGGAUGAAGGGAGCUUGCUCCUGGAUUCAGCGGCGGACGGGUGAGUAAUGCCUAGGAAUCUGCCUGGUAGUGGGGGAUAACGUCCGGAAACGGGCGCUAAUACCGCAUACGUCCUGAGGGAGAAAGUGGGGGAUCUUCGGACCUCACGCUAUCAGAUGAGCCUAGGUGGGAUUAGCUAGUUGGUUGGGUAAAGGCCUACCAAGGCGACGAUCCGUAACUGGUCUGAGAGGAUGAUCAGUCACACUGGAACUGAGACACGGUCCAGACUCCUACGGGAGGCAGCAGUGGGGAAUAUUGGACAAUGGGCGAAAGCCUGAUCCAGCCAUGCCGCGUGUGUGAAGAAGGUCUUCGGAUUGUAAAGCACUUUAAGUUGGGAGGAAGGGCAGUAAGUUAAUACCUUGCUGUUUUGACGUUACCAACAGAAUAAGCACCGGCUAACUUCGUG
rnacentral:rRNA from 1 species